CUCUCUUUUAACAGGGUUAAGAAAAACAAGAAAGAACGGUUUUAAGGCAAUACUAGAUGCUGGCAAACCAGAGUUAUUUACUGCAAGCUGAAGGACUGAUUGGUUUCACACAUAAAGGGCAGACAAAGUUGGCUGCAGAAGAACCACGUCAUGCCUUGACAUUCAGGACCUGAGUUGUCUGCUUCUUUGCUUCACCUUCCGUGCAGAAAAAGCAGGGCUGCCAGAUGCUGCAAUCGCUUACACCUCUUCCAUCCUUGUGUUUGGGACUUCCAAGCUCCUGAGACUCCCAGUCGAAUAUGUCCCAGUCUGAGCUGAGACAAGCUCUGUUAUGACUCCAGCUCAUAAGAGGUGCCUACAUCCAGUCUGGAUUUCCUCGGUGUCCCAGUCUUCUGUGUGCGAUCACAUCACACCCAGCAUGGACAGCCAGCACUGACAGAGCUGGAGGGAGAGGUUCCACCUGCAUCUUCCACAAAAUCCUCAGGCAAAAUUUGCAAAGAGACGGUUGUAAGCCUUUCUGAUUCUGGAGGGGUUUAUCACCCUAGUUCCUACUUCCC
rnacentral:lncRNA from 1 species